rnacentral:rRNA from 1 species
AUGCUGAAGCAACAAAUGCCACAACUCAGUGAGCUGACGAGAACGCAGAGGGAGCUAACCUGCGCCGGUUUCUGUGUCCGAGCCGUUGGCUUUGAGGUUCUUGGGCGCAGCCGAUUUGCUCUUGCGCCCGGCGCCGCCGAUGCCCAUCUCCCGGAGAAGCUGCUCUUCGACGUCGGUGGUGUAGGUCUUCCCCACGCCGAACCCGGCCGGCUUGGGCCGGUUCUUGAGAAAGAUGUCCUCGUCAACCGCCUCCUCCACGUCGUCGUCGUCGUCCUCAUCGGCCUCGUCCUCGUCGUCGUCGAGGGUGGUGGGUACCGGCUCGCGGUUCCGGCGGCCGUAUUUCCUCAGGCGAGGGAAGGCGAAGAGGACGUGCGACGCGCGCAGCCGCGAGGGCGGCGGCCGCGAGAGCGAGAAGGGGCCCGGCGCCGACGACGCCGCAGCGGCGCCACACGCGGUCGGCAGCUGUAG